UCCGCGCGGGGCGGGGCCGCGCCGGGCCCGGAGGCCGGCCCUCGGUCGAGCCGAGAGCCUGGGCGCGGGACAUGGGGCCCGGCGUCCCGCACGAGCUUCCCGCAGCCGCUGCGCGUUUGGUGCGCGGGCGCCCGCGGCGGAGCGCGGCCCUGCGGAGCUCGGUCGGCACCGCCGGUUCGCUCCCGCGGCCCCCGCGCAUCUGACGUGACCGCGGCCGCCACGGAGGGGAGGGACGGUCUGACAUCACGGCGCCCGGGCACCGCUACGCGCCUCGCGGACGGGCGUUGCAUCAACUUCCCGAGAGCGUUCCUUAAAUCGGUAACGAACGGAUUAGAAGCUGGGCAGUAGUUUGAGUGAGGGAGCCCUGGCCCGGGCUGCACUGGGAGGGUGUGGAGGCUCCUCGGGAGGUUUCCAAACCCGCCUGGACGCGUUCCUGUGCCCCUGAGCGAGGGGAACCUGCUGUAGCAGGGGCUGGGGCUGGAGCAGCUCCGGCUGGGGUGACAGGCAAUGAGCUGCCCUUCUGAUUCGCUCACAGUAAAGUACCCGAGUUGCAAUACAGAAAUAUCCAAUUGCCAGAGUCAUUCGGAAGCUUCCAAAGAGCAUCUGCAAAUUCCCACUCCUGGCAGCAGCAGACCAAAAUCAUCAGCGCUGGCUUGGACCUGAGAGCUGGCCAUGCAAACCACGCAUCAAUCCAGAACUGGCAGAGACUCGUUUCAGAUUUGUCCUGAAAACGACCAACAGAAGACUUCUUUCUAGGGGAUGGCUCCUUCUUCAAAUCAUACAAUUACAGAACCAUUUCAGCUGGAAGAGCACCUGUGAAAGAUUGUGGAUGAUUAACGUGUCAGAACUUUUGAUCACAUUUAUAAGAACGGUAAACAGUCUUCAGGACCCUUUAUGAGCACCCCAACAGCACAGAGACUAUCUUGGCAAAUACGAAGGAAAAUGGUAAUGUGUUGGUCCUGAACAGCAAUCUGAUAUGAAUGCUUGUACCCGCUGCCCCACGUAGAGCCAUUAACGAGUGCAGCGGGUGUGCAGAAGGCAACACUACCCUCAUCUGAACGCCUUCAUGACUGUCCAUGAGGGCAUUACCUGGAGAUGCGUGCUGACGAAUCCGUGUGGCACUUCUCGCAGGGCCUGAAGGUUGUGAAGGGGCAGGGGAGCAGCGCCUCCAGAUCACAGCCGGCACACACUCUCCUGUCAGAAUUAUCAACCCGACGAAGCUCAGCUGAGGAGCGGCUCCGUCGCUGCCACACCGCGGCCUGUGCCCGGGGCUGCGGGACACGGCCCGACA